GCGCUUUUAAUUACCCGCACGGCUGCUCCCUCCCAUUAGUGUGGGAAAUGAAGGGUUGAGCGUUUAGCACUUACAGUGAUAAUCCCAGCGCAAAACUUUCAGAACAGCCCAUUGAUCCCCAAGUCCGAUGGAUAUGAGCCUGCUUCAGGUGGCUUGGGCUAGCUCCGCGGCCUCUUCACUGUUUGGAAUGGAGGAAGCUCAAACCCAGCCAGCAUCCCAAGCCAAGCAAGCUGCACAGGGCCGGCAUCUGGGAUGUGAAAAGCUAACUGGCCAGACUUGGAGGGCAUGCAAGGACAACGGCCGUCUCAAGGACACACACUGGAUGGGCAGGUGCCUUGUGCAGUCAGGACAAGUGUUCCGGAGCCUGGCAGCUGUGGCCUGUCUGGUGGGUUGCAUGACCUCUGCUUUCCUUGUUAGCUUCAGGUUUGACAGAGGCCAGAGCCCCACUUUCAUCUGGGGCUGCCAUCAGGGGUCACCCCUUGAGAGGCAGUCUGUACACUCAGCUGCCAAUCAACUGCAUGAGGACAGAGCUACCCACUGCACCAUGCACUCACCUG
ensembl:lincRNA Gm1667 predicted gene 1667